rnacentral:rRNA from 1 species
AGGCAGCAGUGAGGAAUAUUGGUCAAUGGCCGGAAGGCUGAACCAGCCAAGUCGCGUGAGGGAAUAAGGCCCUACGGGUCGUAAACCUCUUUUGCCAGGGAGCAAUGCCGUCCACGUGUGGACGGAAGGAGAGUACCUGGAGAAAAAGCAUCGGCUAACUCCGUGCCAGCAGCCGCGGUAAUACGGAGGAUGCGAGCGUUAUCCGGAUUUAUUGGGUUUAAAGGGUGCGUAGGCGGCCUGCCAAGUCAGCGGUAAAAUUGCGGGGCUCAACCCCGUACAGCCGUUGAAACUGCCGGGCUCGAGUGGGCGAGAAGUAUGCGGAAUGCGUGGUGUAGCGGUGAAAUGCAUAGAUAUCACGCAGAACCCCGAUUGCGAAGGCAGCAUACCGGCGCCCGACUGACGCUGAGGCACGAAAGUGCGGGGAUCAAACAGGAUUAGAUACCCUGGUAGUCCGCACAGUAAACGAUGAAUGCUAGCUGUCCGGGGGGAUUGACCCCUGG